rnacentral:rRNA from 1 species
AUACGGAGGGUCCGAGCGUUAUCCGGAAUUAUUGGGUUUAAAGGGUCCGUAGGCGGGCCAUUAAGUCAGGGGUGAAAGUCUGCGGCUCAACCGUAGAAUUGCCUUUGAUACUGAUGGUCUUGAGUUAUAGUGAAGUUGGCGGAAUAUGUAGUGUAGCGGUGAAAUGCAUAGAUAUUACAUAGAACACCGAUUGCGAAGGCAGCUGACUAACUAUAUACUGACGCUGAGGGACGAAAGCGUGGGGAGCGAACAGGAUUAGAAACCCUUGUAGUCC